UGGGGAAUAUUGGACAGUGGGCGCAAGCCUGAUCCAGCCAUGCCGCGUGAGUGAUGAAGGCCCUAGGGUUGUAAAGCUCUUUCACCGGUGAAGAUAAUGACGGUAACCGGAGAAGAAGCCCCGGCUAACUUCGUGCCAGCAGCCGCGGUAAUACGAAGGGGGCUAGCGUUGUUCGGAUUUACUGGGCGUAAAGCGCACGUAGGCGGACUUUUAAGUCAGGGGUGAAAUCCCGGGGCUCAACCCCGGAACUGCCUUUGAUACUGGAAGUCUUGAGUAUGGUAGAGGUGAGUGGAAUUCCGAGUGUAGAGGUGAAAUUCGUAGAUAUUCGGAGGAACACCAGUGGCGAAGGCGGCUCACUGGACCAUUACUGACGCUGAGGUGCGAAAGCGUGGGGAGCAAACAGG
rnacentral:rRNA from 1 species